CUCCUCGCUGCCAUUGCUGGUACUGCUCUUUACAUCCUUUACCGACCUCACCGCCCUACCUUCACCAUCACCUCCCUACGCAUCCACCGUCUUAAUCUCACCACCUCUGCUGACUCCUCCAUUUCCCACCUCUCCACUCUUCUUAACCUCACUAUCAUCUCCGAGAACCCCAAUUCACAUAUCUCACUAGACUAUGAACCCUUCACGGUCUCUGCAUUAUCUGAUGGCAAUGGUGUGUUUCUUGGUAAUGGUUCUUUGCCUGCUUUCAGUUUGAGUAAAAAGAAUCAGACAAGUUUUAGAAAUGUUGUGGUUUCUGGGUCGAACGAUCUUGACGU
rnacentral:lncRNA from 1 species